rnacentral:rRNA from 1 species
UACGGAGGGGGCUAGCGUUGUUCGGAAUUACUGGGCGUAAAGAGCUCGUAGGUGGUUUGUCGCGUUGUUCGUGAAAUCUCACGGCUUAACUGUGAGCGUGCGGGCGAUACGGGCAGACUAGAGUACUGCAGGGGAGACUGGAAUUCCUGGUGUAGCGGUGGAAUGCGCAGAUAUCAGGAGGAACACCGGUGGCGAAGGCGGGUCUCUGGGCAGUAACUGACGCUGAGGAGCGAAAGCGUGGGGAGCGAACAGG